rnacentral:misc_RNA from 1 species
AGCAGCCGCGGUAAUUCCAGCUCCAAUAGCGUAUAUUAAAGUUGUUGCAGUUAAAAAGCUCGUAGUUGAAUUUCGGGAUCAAUAUGUUGGUCGUGCCUUGGUACGUACUGGCAUUAUCGAUUCCUACCUUCUGAAGAACCUCGAUGUCAUUAAUUUGGUGUCUUGGGGAAUCAGGACUGUUACUUUGAAAAAUUAGAGUGUUUAAAGCAGGCUCGCGCUUGAAUACAUUAGCAUGGAAUAAUGAAAUAGGACGUUUGAUUCUAUUUUGUUGGUUUCUAGGAUCGACGUAAUGAUUAAUAGGGAUAGUUGGGGGCAUUAGUAUUCAAUUGUCAGAGGUGAAAUUCUUGGAUUUUAUUGAAGACUAACUACUGCGAAAGCAUUUGCCAAGGAUGUUUUCAUUAAUCAAGAACGAAAGUUAGGGGAUCGAAGACGAUCAGAUACCGUCGUAGUCUUAACCAUAAACUAUGCCGACUAGGGAUCGGAUGGAUGUUAAUUUUUAAUGACUCAUUCGGCUACCG